GGUGUCCAUUUUGCAAAUUAAUUCCAUUUCAGCAGUCUCUCAUUGGAGUCUGUUUUUGAAGUUUUUUUGUUGUAAUACUGUGACUUUUAGGUCUUUAAUCAAUUGGCC